GCAGGCCCUACCAAUUGCAAGUUCGAGCGGUAGCACAGAGAGCUUGCUCUCGGGUGACGAGCGGCGGACGGGUGAGUAAUGUCUGGGAAACUGCCUGAUGGAGGGGGAUAACUACUGGAAACGGUAGCUAAUACCGCAUAACGUCGCAAGACCAAAGUGGGGGACCUUCGGGCCUCAUGCCAUCAGAUGUGCCCAGAUGGGAUUAGCUAGUAGGUGGGGUAACGGCUCACCUAGGCGACGAUCCCUAGCUGGUCUGAGAGGAUGACCAGCCACACUGGAACUGAGACACGGUCCAGACUCCUACGGGAGGCAGCAGUGGGGAAUAUUGCACAAUGGGCGCAAGCCUGAUGAUGCAGCCAUGCCGCGUGUGUGAAGAAGGCCUUCGGGUUGUAAAACACUUUCAGCGGGGAGGAAGGCGUUAAGGUUAAUAACCUU
rnacentral:rRNA from 1 species